CCUCCCCGCACUGCUCUGCAAGCCUGGCAGGGGAGCAGCCAUCACGGCGGCGGGCUCCCCUCCGCGUCUAAAGGAGCAUCUUCCGCGAGCAGCAGCCGGUCACGCGCCCGGUGAGAAAGUCAGGGGCUUGUAGGCAGAUGCAGCCGGCGGACACACCUUCCUGCGCCCGGCCAGCCCCGCGCGCGGCGCUCAGAGGGAAAGGGCGGAGCAGCAGGGGAAAGCAUCAAGCAGCAGCCAUGCUCGGCCGCCUGGCGCAAGAUACAGACAUGCCCAGCACCACACCACCUGGGACAGACUGAAGAGGAUUGGGGGGGCCUCAGGAUGUGUGGGGGCCCUGGAUGUCUGCCCUGCGGUUCUGGGAACCAUCUCCUGGAGCCAACAGACAGAUCUGCUGCCAUUUUGGAAAUAUAAAUACAAAGUGGGCUAAGAAGUACAGAUGUGACAAGACCUUUAGAUCUUUUCCCACAAAGCCAUAUUCCACACUAACCUGUUUCAUUCUAAGCAUCCCUUUACAUGGUCCUCUCUUAUACUCCUGUUUGCAGAGUUUUCAAAAUCCGUACAGUGCUGAUUGCUGUAAUGAUGUCAACACACACACACACCCCUUGCCAGUCUGCUUAAUCAGACUGGUCAAACAUAUGUACAGCAGCAUAAAACCACAUUAAUCAAUCUGUAAAACUGGAUAUAUUGCGAGCAGGGGUGUUGUUCAGGAAGGGAUCCCAUGUUUCAAACCACCUGUAGUUAUUCCUCAGGAGAAUAUCUAGUCAAAUCAGCUACAAACUGAACAACAAACUGUUACGGUAGUUAAUACUGUAUACAUUGGAUAUGCAUUUUAUAAGUUUAAUCAGAGACAGGGAGGGAGGG